CCAGCCCGCCCCGGAAAGCGCUUUACCGCCAUUUCAGGCUGCAGAAGAAGCAGCGUGCUCGUCUCAGCCCCGCGUUAGUGGAGCACAGCAGCGCUGCGGACUCGUUUUUUUUAACCCCAGGAUUCUCUCUUAUUACUCUUCUUUAUCGUUAUUUUUAUUUUAAGUUGAGGUGAGUUAUCAGGCGGGAGGUGAGAGGAUGAGUUACGGCCGGCCUCCGCCCGAUGUCGAGGGCAUGACUUCGCUGAAGGUGGACAACCUGACUUACCGCACGUCCCCCGAAACGCUGCGCCGCGUGUUCGAGAAGUACGGCCGCGUCGGGGACGUGUACAUCCCGCGGGACCGCUACACGAAGGAGAGCCGCGGCUUCGCCUUCGUGCGCUUCCACGACAAGCGCGACGCCGAGGACGCGAUGGACGCCAUGGACGGAGCCCUGCUGGACGGGCGGGAGCUGCGGGUGCAAAUGGCGCGCUACGGCCGCCCGCCGGACUCCCACUACGGCCGCCGGGGAGGCCCACCGCGCAGAUAUGGAGGGUACGGAAGGAGAAGUCGCAGCCGCAGUCCCCGCCGCAGGAGACACAGCCGAUCCAGGAGCCGAAGCCGCUCUCGCUCCCGGAGCCGAUCCCGCUACAGCAGGUCCAGAUCCAGGUCUUACUCCCGGUCCCGCAGCCGCUCCAAGAGCCGGACACCACGCAGAAGCAAGUCCAAAUCCCCGUCCAGGUCCCGCUCUCGCUCCAAGUCCAAAUCCCACUCCAGGAGUCGCAGCCCCCAGUCGAACAGGGGGUCUAAAUCCAGGUCCAGGUCCAGAAGUAGGGCCAAGUCUCCCGAGGGAACUGGAACUGAGCAAGAGCCGUGAACUCGAAUCUAGCUGCUGAUUCCUGUUUGCAAAAGAGGAGUUUGGGGGCAGUUUGAGAGCAGUUAGUGUGUGAUCCGACCAUUGGCUGCCUGCUGCUGGUUGGCGGUUACUAUGGAGCAGGUCGGUCUGAUUGAGUGUUGAGGUGGUGUUGAGAUGAUCUCAGAUGACUGAGACCUCUUCAGUGAGGGCAUCGCUUCAAAUGGGGGAAAAGUCCGUCUGAGGAUUUCUAAAAAUUCGCCUGUUCAAAUCGAAAGAAAGGUUAUUGUAACUUGGUCUACAUCUUUUUAAAUGAUUUUUCUUUCUUUCAUUUUUUCUUUUGCUUUCAGUUUCUUUAAAAAUGUUCUGUAUCAUAUAUAUUGAAGUUUGUGAUCAUAUUUAGGAUUUAAAAGUGCUUAAGUGGGAUUCUUAGGUGAAAACAACAUAUUUUUCUUCAUUUUUGCUAGUUUUUUUGCAUUUGUGUAGUAGUACUUCAUGUAAUUGAAUCUCCCAGACAAUAAAGUAAGUUCAUUUUUUUAAUCACAACUCUUCAAUCCCUUUCAUUAACACCUUUAUUGUGUAUUAAAGUCUUUGGAUGUUUCAUCUUUGAGAAAAUUCACUCUGUAAUAAAGCUCUGGCCGGAAAUCAAACUCUUAACGUAAAUACACAAACAUGUUAAAGAAUAAAUUUGGACAAAAACUAAACACUUAUUGUAAAAAUCGCGUUUGUAGUUGCUGAGCAAACAUAUAUAUUUCUCUUUUUUUUUUUUUUUUGUAUGUGUAUGGUACCUGCUAAGUUCACGGAGUUGUGAUUUCUAAUAUUCUCUCUUGUGUAUCUUUUGUGCACUAGGCGCAGUUGCGCAGCAGUUUUGCAGAGUAUUGCUGGUUAGCUGUUAAGGUGGCGUGUUGCUGUGCAGAGUGCUUGGCUGUUUCCAGUAUUCUCCUGAUUGCUCCUGUGUAACGGCUUGAUUUGACGGGUUUUUAAAGCUCCGGCAGAUCGUCAAUUAAAUUUUUUAUUUUAAUAGAAUGAUCCUGAGCAGGUCUUUCUGUGUAAAAACCCUUUUUUGUUCAUUAAAUCCAUAAAAUAACAUUUGAGAGGAGAUGCAGCAUUUAUUACACAAUAGCACCAUUUGUCUAUAUGUGGAGGAAGUACUCUACUGUAAGUUCCAUGUGAAUGCUAAUAAAACUCCUUUUGUUUAACA